rnacentral:misc_RNA from 1 species
CCAAAAAAAAAAAAAAAAAUCUUUCUCAAUAAUUUUUCACCCAAACUCAUGAAAUCUGAUCAAGUUGUGUAUUGCAAACCUUGUUCAAGUAAUUUAAACAAAAUGAACCCAAAUCCCUAUAUUCAAUAUCAUUUCUAUCCAUAAGCAACAUAAAGUAAAUUAAUUGAAUCCAAAAUAUAAUAUAAAUUGACAGAAUUAUAAUAAAAAGUGAUUGGAUUGCAGUAGCCUAAAUUGCUAAGUUCCAUUACACAAGGUUGCACAAUCAUAUCUAGUUACCCUCUUUCGAGGUUCUCUAGAAAAAUUGGCAGUUUUUGCAGAUGAUCAACAUAAGCAGACAUAAUUGUUAAUCAUUCUAAAAUUAUGAAGUCGG